AUUGAACGCUGGCGGCAUGCCUUACACAUGCAAGUCGAACGGUAACGCGGGGCAACCUGGCAACGAGUGGCGAACGGGUGAGUAAUGCAUCGGAACGUGCCCAGUAGUGGGGGAUAGCCCGGCGAAAGCCGGAUUAAUACCGCAUACGACCUACGGGUGAAAGGGGGGGAUCGCAAGACCCCUCGCUAUUGGAGCGGCCGAUGUCAGAUUAGGUAGUUGGUGGGGUAAAGGCCUACCAAGCCGACGAUCUGUAGCUGGUCUGAGAGGACGACCAGCCACACUGGGACUGAGACACGGCCCAGACUCCUACGGGAGGCAGCAGUGGGGAAUUUUGGACAAUGGGCGCAAGCCUGAUCCAGCCAUGCCGCGUGCGGGAAGAAGGCCUUCGGGUUGUAAACCGCUUUUGUCAGGGAAGAAAUCUUCUGAGUUAAUACCUCGGGAGGAUGACGGUACCUGAAGAAUAAGCACCGGCUAACUACGUGCCAGCCGCCGCCGUAACAC
rnacentral:rRNA from 1 species